GGGGAUGUGGCUCAGUGGUAGAGCGCCCGCUUUGCAUCUUCUCCAGUUCUUCCGAAUUGCGAGUCAACGAUGAGAUUGCGGGAGGCCCAGGUUUCGAUCACCUGCUUCUCCA